rnacentral:tRNA from 1 species
GGCUCAAUGGUCUAGAGGUAUGAUUCUCGCUUUGGGUUCUUGAUUACAUCAAGUCAUCUUCUGCGAGAGGCCCCGGGUUCGAUCCCCGGUUGAGCCC